GCCGCUGUGGUGGAAUGGCAGACACGCGACACUCAAAAUGUCGUGGGAGCAAUCCCGUGUCGGUUCGACUCCGACCAGCGGCA
rnacentral:tRNA from 1 species